UCUGAGUACAUCGUGGGAGAGGCACAGAGAGAUAUAAUCAAUGCCUCUUUAUGAAAAAUAGCAAUCACCUUUUUAUCCUUCAGUUUGUUCUCUGAGGCAACUUCUUCUGGAGCAACUUCCACAAGCUGGUUUUGUUCUUUGCCCCACAAACUACAGUUUUAUACUACCGUCAAGUGUAAAGGUUUCUACCCCUGAAAGGCCCACAAAACUAUUACAAGAAGACUUUUGAAGAGAGGCUCAAGCAUGUGCUGAGAGUUUCCUGCACCAAGGUUUCCAUCGAAAAUACGCAGGGAUGGACUCAAUGUUUGCUGCAGCUUCCUGGGUGGUGACCUACAUCCAGAGCAGAACAUCUAAUGCCUGGGAUGACCACAGGGACAAG
rnacentral:lncRNA from 1 species